AGGUGUCCGCCAUGUCCCCGGGCUAAACACUGGUCACAGGGAUCCAGCCAGGCCAGGUCCUUGGCCUGAAAAAACAUUUCCCGCGCCGCAGACGCGGCGCUGCUGGAUCUCUGUGACAAGCACAGAGAUGAGGGCCAGGAGAAACGCCAUCACCGAUCUCGCAGCAGCCGUCAUAAACACCAGAUGAAUCUCAACAGGCCUUAAAGCGGGAUGGAAAAGUAUGUGCGAACGGAAUUUCAAUUUGUUGAAGCAUUUUACCGGUCAUCGAUUCGGUGAAACGAAGAUGAGAACCGAUUUCGUCAGGUGAUAAGCAAAAAAAGAACCCCGAAGCACCGUCGCUCCGGGGUUCUUCAU
rnacentral:sRNA from 1 species